AAGGAUGUCACCUGGGAGGGCUGAGGUC
rnacentral:piRNA from 2 species